GAUGAACGCUGGCGGCGUGCCUAAUACAUGCAAGUCGAGCGAACAGACGAGGAGCUUGCUCCUCUGACGUUAGCGGCGGACGGGUGAGUAACACGUGGAUAACCUACCUAUAAGACUGGGAUAACUUCGGGAAACCGGAGCUAAUACCGGAUAAUAUAUUGAACCGCAUGGUUCAAUAGUGAAAGACGGUUUUGCUGUCACUUAUAGAUGGAUCCGCGCCGCAUUAGCUAGUUGGUAAGGUAACGGCUUACCAAGGCAACGAUGCGUAGCCGACCUGAGAGGGUGAUCGGCCACACUGGACCUGAGACCCGGUCCAGGCUCCUACGGGAGGCAGCAGUAGGGAAUCUUCCGCAAUGGGCGAAAGCCUGACGGAGCAACGCCGCGUGAGUGAUGAAGGUCUUCGGCUCGUAAAACUCUGUUAUUAGGGAAGAACAAAUGUGUAAGUAACUAUGCACGUCUUGACGGUACCUAAUCAGAAAGCCACGGCUAACUACGU
rnacentral:rRNA from 1 species